CACUGUCCUUCACUCAUCCUCUCCACACACUCUCUCCCUCAUUCUCGCAUCUCUUACCUUCAUUCUCUCUCCUUCAUACCCUCAAUCUCUCCCUCAUUCUCGCUGUCCUACUCUCUCUUUCAGUCUCUCUCUGUCUAACUCUCAGUCCCUAUCGUUCUCUUCCUUAUCACUCCCUCCCUUCACUACCUCCUCCAAAAACCUCUCUGCUCUCCCUCGCACCUUCCAGCUCCUCUCUCCCUCAGUGCCUCGCUCUUCUCCCUCUCCUUCACUCUGUCCCUUGCGUUCUCAUUCUCUUUAUCUCACAGUCUUUCACACACUAUAAUUACCGUCCUGUGAAUUCGUUCUCUUACUCCUCAUGAAUUCAACACAACAAUGCGUCUGCAGGACGGAACGGUGGCAGUUCCUACUAUGAGAUAACAAGGUGUAGAGCUGGAUUAACGCAGCAGGCCAAGCAGCAUCAGAAGAGCAGGAAGGCUGACGUUUCGGGCCGAGACCCAGAACCAGGAUUUCUUUUCUCUCAGGUAAUCUGUUCUACCAGCACAUGUUCUCUUUGGAUUUGGAGCCUGAUAGUUUGGUGUGCCUGACCAUGGUCUCUAGGUCUCUUUAAACUGGAGGAUCUUCAAUCUCUUGGAUCUCCUUCACAGAGGACUUGUUUCCUGUUGAAACAGAGAGAAGUCAAACUAAUCUACCAGGACAAGACCCUGGGAUGAAAGUGCAAUCAUCUGACAGGGAUGCCUGAGCCCAAUGGAACUGAUGAGAUCUGCUGUGUUUGGCUUUCCAUCACUUGUCUUCAGGGAGUUGAUGGAAUAGAAUUACUAAACGAAAAUAAAAAUGAAGAACCAAAAAUGUUAACAACAGCCUUUGAGCUAACAAAGAAAACUGGAACAUCAUCAAGGAACGUAUGUGGAACCUUUAUGACAAAUUGGUUAGGCCACAUCUAGAGUACUGUGGCCAAUUCUGGACGCAUACUUUAGGAAAGAUGUCAAGGUUCAGAGAGGGUGCAGAAGAGAUUGGUUGGAAUGGGACCAGCAAUGGGGGAUUGCUCAGGUGAGAUGCAAAAGCUUGAGUAAAUAAGAAGGAAGUGUCCCCAGUGGCAGAAGACUCAGUACAAGGAGAACUCAGAUUUGCGGUGACGAGAGAAGCAACACAGACGUCAGGAGGAAAACAUAUUUUACAAGAGAGCUUGGUCUGGAAGCAUUUCCUGAAAAAGCAGAAGAAACCGAUUCAAUGGCAAACAUUAAAUUACAUACUUAAACGGGAAAUAUCUGCAGGAAAAUUCAGAAAGAGCAGGUAUUUUGGCAUUAAUUGGAUAGCUAUUUCAAAUUGUGGGCAUGGACUUGGGGGACAAAUGGCCACCUUUGCAGCUACAAUUCUACGAUUCUAGAUCUUCAUAUUUACAUUUCUGCUACCCAUCAACGUUCUGUCAGUAUCUGUAGACAGAAAGCAGAGAUAUUCCAUCAAUUGCAAUUUUUGUUUUUGGACAACAUCCAGGUUUAAAUUAAAAUAUUGCUAGUAACAUUUAUGCCAGGGAUUAACCAUUUCCAUUUAGACAGAAUCUAACCACCGCCCUUGAUAUUCAUUGGUAUUACCAUCAGUGAAUCCCCACUAACAACA